UGCGGCAGCUACACAUGCAGUCGAGCGCACCUUCGGGUGAGCGGCGGACGGGUUAGUAACGCGUGGGAACGUACCCUUUUCUACGGAAUAGCCUUUGGAAACGAAGAGUAAUACCGUAUACGCCCUUCGGGGGAAAGAUUUAUCGGAGAAGGAUCGGCCCGCGUUAGAUUAGAUAGUUGGUGGGGUAACGGCCUACCAAGUCUACGAUCUAUAGCUGGUUUGAGAGGAUGAUCAGCAACACUGGGACUGAGACACGGCCCAGACUCCUACGGGAGGCAGCAGUGGGGAAUCUUGGACAAUGGGCGCAAGCCUGAUCCAGCCAUGCCGCGUGAGUGACGAAGGCCCUAGGGUCGUAAAGCUCUUUCGCCAGGGAUGAUAAUGACAGUACCUGGUAAAGAAACCCCGGCUAACUCCGUGCCAGCAGCCGCGGUAAUACGGAGGGGGUUAGCGUUGUUCGGAAUUACUGGGCGUAAAGCGCACGUAGGCGGACUAGUCAGUCAGAGGUGAAAUCCCAGGGCUCAACCCUGGAACUGCCUUUGAUACUGCUAGUCUAGAGUUCGAGAGAGGUGAGUGGAAUUCCGAGUGUAGAGGUGAAAUUCGUAGAUAUUCGGAGGAACACCAGUGGCGAAGGCGGCUCACUGGCUCGAUACUGACGCUGAGGUGCGAAAGUGUGGGGAGCAAACAGGAUUAGAUACCCUGGUAGUCCACACCGUAAACGAUGAAUGCCAGACGUCGGGGGGGCUUGCCCUUC
rnacentral:rRNA from 1 species